GAAUCCCCUGCGGCCUCCGGCACUGUCCUGCGGCCUCUGGGAAUAACGGAACCGGCGGGAAGAGGAAUAGCGGGGCGCAGCCGCUGGGGUUGGAAAAUGGUGAGGAGUUUAUUGCAGUGUCUCCCAGCAGGGUGAUUAGAAACAUACAGGUACAGGACGGCUGGCGCUUCGACACCAAUGGGGAAAUGACAUCAUACAUAGCAGUGUUACAAGUGGUUCUGCCAUGAAGACGCUUUACUUUAAUGCUGCAAAACAAGAAGAUAGCACAGCGUGGAAAGUGGAGGUCAUUCCCCAUGGUGAGGAGGAUCUGUCUCAUAGCAAGCUCCUGCAAGACACCACAAGAUUUGAUGUCCCAUGUACAAGUGAGCAGGAGAAUCCACACCACAGAGACCAGAGGCGGUUUACCUGCCCACACCUACUGUGUGACAAGACCUUUGCAUCCAAAUACAAACUCUGCAGGCACAUGGCCACACACUCUAUGCAGAAGUCACAUCAAUGCUCGCACUGUGGCAAAAUGUUUCAUAGGAAAGAUCAUUUAAAGAAUCACCUCCAGACUCACAAUCCUAAUCGAGUUGCCCUUCAGUGUCCAGAAUGCAGCAAAAACUACAGCACCAAGUAUGGGCACCGCCGCCACCUUGCCUUACAUGCCAUUGCCAGAGGUGACCUCAGCUGCACCAUUUGUCUUCAGGUGUUUAGAGACCGUCAGUCUGUGCUGGAGCAUCUGAAGAGCCACAAUCACAGACCAUCAGUGGGCAACAGAGAGAAGAAAUACCCAUGUGAGCACUGUGAUCGGUGUUUUUACACACGUAAAGAUGUACGCAGACACCUGGUGGUACAUACUGGGCGGAAGGAUUUCCAGUGUCACUGCUGUGCUCAAAUGUUUGGACGCAAGGACCACCUGACACGGCAUAUCAAAAAGAGUCAUUGUGAGGAAGCACCACGGAUUAAAAUGGAGCCUCCAGAUGAGUUGAGCCAUAUGAGUUGCCGAUCAGCAGUUGUGAAGGAAGAGAUGGGAUCCAUCAUGUGCAUGCAGCCAAGAGACAUGAUACCAGGAGGAAUGUACACUACACCAUUUCAACCCAUGGCGAAUCCCGGCAUUCACCACUCUCUAGUGCCAAGCUCAUUGUCCUUAGGAUUUAACUACCCCACAGAGAGUACAUCUUCCUUCUCUACAGACCCAUCCAACAGGUUCCAGUAUACAUCUACCUCAUAUCUUCCCAAAAGUGAAAUGGAUCCUUUUGUGUCUGAUGGGCCUGGGGGACUCUGUCUUUCCUCCGGCGAGUUGUCCUCCUUUACACCUCAGGCUACAUUUGAUGAAACGUUUCUCUCCACUCUGUGUGAGCCCCUGUCCUCGGGUGUGGAUUUCAGCCAUUUCCUCAGCUUUUUGCCCAUUAAUAUCCCUCCUUGUAACAUGCCAGUGUCAGCCCCAGAAAUGACCAUAGGAGAAAAUCAGCAAUUUCUUGCUUCUCUCAGCCACAUGCAGACUUCUACCAGCUCCAUCGCUGGAGAUCUGACUCUGCCUCAUUAUACCUCAGACAUUAAUUCUACCACAUUGCCUCAGUUUCACCAAGCCUUCAAGUAAACAUGGUGAGACCAUUUCUUCUCUUACCUCAUAUUGCCCUUGGACAUUUUGUCACCAUGUUUAAGGUGAAUGUUUGUUUUCCUGUUGUAUCAACUCCUAGGAGUCUUGGGUGACAAUGUAUUUGUCCAGUUUUCAAGAUAUCAUCUCCUUCCAGUUGUACAAAAAACAGAUCAUCUUACCUCAAGAUCAGAGACCGCACCAUUCCACACUUAGUGGAAAUCUGCAACAUCCCCUAAAAUGUGAAAACGGUGGCAUUAGCAGCGGAGGUGGGAUACUUUUGAAACAAUAUGGCAGAUUAAGCACUUCAAACACAAAGCUUGUGUCUACGUUGUAACGUAGGGUCACCCUCCCUCCCGGUCGGCUCCUAGGUGUCUGUCGUAAUGGUCUUCUGAACAAGAACCUGAUUGAGUCCUCUGUUACUGUACCAGUGUCAACUCUAAUCUACCUCUUCUGUCCUUUGUAUAUACAGUUCCUGGCGAAGGAGACCAGUUGGAGCCGUUGUAAUGGUGGAAUCAACUAUCCUAUGGGCAUAGCAGUAUUCAUGAGUGUGAAACCUGUGACAUCACUAAAUCACACAGCUUCCAUGUAUUCGCACAGAAGACACCCCACUAAAGCAUGACUGGAAACCCUUUUCCACAGUUUUUGUGCAGCACCGUGAUAGCAACCAAACAUGUUUUAAGGGCUAGCUCUGUAACCUUCAAAAUGGCCUCUCAUUACCCUUAAUCUCAGUAAUAAGUCAAAAUAAUAAAACAUUUUUUAGAGGCACCAAUCUGUAAUAGCAGAGCAGGCUUUCUAAACAAGUGUAUUGAGCUAUAACAAAUAAAUCUGACAGUAAUACAGGAAGGAGCUAAGUUCCGCAGAUGGGGACCAGGCACAAAUGUAAUUGAGGUGGUAAUACCCAUAGCAACCAGUCAAAUGCUAGUCAAGAAUAAAAGCACACAUCUCAUUGGUUUAUAUAGGUAAAACUGCCUUCUCUACAGAAUAUACAUCUGCAACUCACCUGACUGCUCUUGCAUUUACUAUGUAAUUUUAUUAUAUGUACUGAACCUUUUGUGGAGCCUUAUAAAUUACAAAGAACAGUUUUCAUAAAUGCUCCCCAUGGUUGAGGCAUCAGAAAAACAUGCUAGAGCAGCUUCAAAUGUUUCUCUGCUUUAUAGCUGUAAAACAUACAACUUUAUUCAAACUGAGUAACAAGGGAAUAGGAAAAAAAAAUUAUGUAUGUUGCAACACAAAGGGGCAAAUCCGAUAAGCGAGUAAUUGUUAACUCAGACCUGUUCAACUAGGUACUGCACCCCCCGCACAUUAAGCCUUAAGGGUGCACCUUUCUUCUCAGCCUCAGGAGUUACAAAGGAAAAGUCAGUGUUAAGGCACACCCUCAGGGAUUUAAGGUGAGCUCAGGGAGAUCAGAAACCUCCCGUGGAGCCGAAGGGAUUUAACGUGCAGAGAAAACCAUUGAUUCAGCAUUUUAUGUGUCACCCAAGGGUUUACUGGGCAGGGAAAAUGCCAAAUGGUCGAAUAGCUCCAGGCAUGAAAGCUGUAGGUUUUCCCACACCUAUUUGGUUAGGCCCCUAAUUUUCAUCCAAGGAAAGAGUAGCAGCUUGUAUUGUAAAAUCACUUUGUAGAAACUGACAAUUACCAUCUGUUUGGCUGCAAUGGAUUACAGAAAUUUUUCUUGUGCAAGAGUUUUCUCACCUAUAAGCUCCUUCCCCAGUGUACAGAACACAAAUGUGAUUCCAUUAAAUUGUAUGUAUUCACCGUGGGGCUAACCAUACUGAGAGCUGCUCCAAUAGGAAGGAGGUUAGAGCUAUGCAUAUGAUAACUCAUCGGAACUACAGAUUCAGUAUGAAUAGAUAUUUACAAUACAAAACAUUUCUUUGUGAAAGCUCAAGUCCCACAUCUGGCAUUUAGUUGUCAGUGGAAGCACAGCAAGCCCAAACCACCAGUGUCUUUCUCAGCCUGUUGUGUAUAGUAAAAAAGCCUGGUUACAUUUCACAUCUCUAUUCAGUAAACAUUUUAUUUAUUUGAGAAUGUUACUAAUUUAGAUACUUUAUAGCAAUUAACUUGCAUUUUAGAUUACCCAGCCCUUUCAAAAUAAAUCACACGGUAGUCAAUUAUACAACUGUUAUGGCCAAUGUAUAAAUAUACAUUUAGCUGUCUCUCUGGGCAUAUUAUGUAAGUCUGCAAUAAAAUUGUGCUUACAUGGAUUACUGAACACAGUAAGAUUGGUUUAACUAUAAAGAGCAUUUUGUAAAAUAGAUAUUACAUUCUUGUAUGCUUUAAGAAAUGCUACACAUAUGUACAGUUGCAGUUUCUAAUUGCAAAGGGAAAGCAUUUACCUGAAGUCAAGAAAGCAUUUUACUUUAUAUAUACUGUAUGUGGACAUAAGAAAAUGCUCUUUCGUAUAAAGCCAAAAACCUAUAGCUAUAGUUUUAUUAGAAUAUAAAAUAUAUAUUAUAUUUGUGCCAGUAGAAUUGUCCUCCCACUGUGGACCAAUCACUGACAUUGUAGCACUUUGAUAUAAAUAGUUUGGUUUAUUAGUAGAAUUCAUACAAUGUUUUGUAAUACAGAAAGGGGAACGUAAACAAAAUGUUCUAUUUUUUUGUUUUUGUUUCAAGAGUGAAGAUUGCUAAAUAAACAUUUACUAGAUGA